rnacentral:lncRNA from 1 species
CCCCCCGGCGCUGCCCCCGCGCCGCCCGGCCCGCCACGGCCCGUGGACACGAAAGCCAGAAAUGGUGAGAUGACUGGUGCCUCGCUGACGCUCACAGAGCAAAACCUUCCAUAGCCCGGGGGUGAGACUUGCAAAACUGUCCUUCACGGUCACCCCGGAAAGUAGGAGGCUUUUUCCGCAGACGCAAAAAAAAAAAAAAAAAAAAAGGCCUUCCAUCCCCCUCAGGACUGGGUUUGAAUUGCUUUUCAUCUGGAGUGGCAGUGAUUCAGCGACCCCCUUCUCAGCAGCAGGCAGUGACAGAGACAGGAGACGAAAAACACAGCGAAUGAAUCAGACGCAUUUAGAGAGACAAGAGGCAGGCUGCCCACCCAGAAGCACCAUCUCACCCAUCAGGAAUAGCCCCCAAGUUAAGGAUCCCAGAGAUUCCACGCAAGCAGCGACAUGGAAAAGAAGCUGAUGCUACAGAGGGAUAUGAAUGCAGGAAGAGAUGGAAGAUGCCCACGACUGAGAAGGCCCAUCCUUCAGGGGUGAGCUUUCCCGAGAGCCCUGUGGCUGAUCAACAGCUGACUCCUGGAGUCCUGCCCCGCCGGCUGACAACUGCAGGAAUCUUGGACCAGCUCUUGGACCAGAGAAUUGAGUUCCUUCCUCAAACGCGCGUUGACCCUCAUCAUAUUUCUGCCAGUAUCAGCAAGGCUAAGCAUAUUUCAUGA